AGCAGCAGCCGCGGUAAUACGUAGGGUGCAAGCGUUAAUCGGAAUUACUGGGCGUAAAGCGUGCGCAGGCGGUUAUAUAAGACAGAUGUGAAAUCCCCGGGCUCAACCUGGGAACUGCAUUUGUGACUGUAUAGCUAGAGUACGGCAGAGGGGGAUGGAAUUCCGCGUGUAGCAGUGAAAUGCGUAGAUAUGCGGAGGAACACCGAUGGCGAAGGCAAUCCCCUGGGCCUGUACUGACGCUCAUGCACGAAAGCGUGGGGAGCAAACAGGAUUAGAUACCCCCGUAGUCCCUGUCUCUUAUAA
rnacentral:rRNA from 1 species